GCCCGGUACAAGCGAGGUACCAGUACGGUAGGAAAAUCCGCCGUGCAAUGGGAAGACGUGAUGUGGAGCGAAAUUUAGUAGCGAAGCCCGUGAGCCAUGCGUCAAGAAAAGCCGCUAUUGUUUAUACUGUACCCGUACCGUAAACCGACACAGGUGGAUGAGGAGAGAAUCCUAAGGCCGGCGGAAGAAGUAUUGCCAAGGAACUCGGCAAAAUGGCCCCGUAACUUAGGGAGAAGGGGUGCCUGCGAGAGCAGGCCGCAGAGAAUAGGCUCAAGCAACUGUUUAGCAAAAACACAGGUCUAUGCGAAACCGAAAGGUGAGGUAUAUGGGCUGACGCCUGCCCGGUGCUGGAAGGUUAAGAGGAGAGGUUAGCGGUAACGCGAAGCUUUGAAUUUAAGCCCCAGUAAACGGCGGCCGUAACAAUAACGGUCCUAAGGUAGCGAAAUUCCUUGUCGGGUAAGUUCCGACCCGCACGAAAGGCGUAAUGAUUUGAGCGCUGUCUCGGCAAUACAUCCGGUGAAAUUGAAGUGCCAGUGAAGAUGCUGGCUACCCGCGCCAGGACGGAAAGACCCCAUGGAGCUUUACUCCAGUUUGGCACUGGGGUCCGGUGUUGCAUGUACAGGAUAGGUGGGAGGCUGAGAAACGGUAACGUCAGUUGCCGCGGAGCCGCUGUUGGGAUACCACCCUUGUGAUAUUGGGCUUCUAACCAGCCGCCGUGAUCCGGCGGUGGGACAAUGCCAGGCGGGGAGUUUGACUGGGGCGGUCGCCUCCGAAAGGGUAUCGGAGGCGCCCAAAGGUUCCCUCAGAAUGGACGGAAACCAUUCGAAGAGUGCAAAGGCAGAAGGGAGCUUGACUGCGACACCGACGGGUGGAGCAGGUACGAAAGUAGGGCUUAGUGAUCCGGUGGUAUUAAGUGGGAAUGCCAUCGCUCAACGGAUAAAAGCUACCCUGGGAUAACAGGCUUAUCACUCCCAAGAGUUCACAUCGACGGAGUGGUUUGGCACCUCGAUGUCGGCUCAUCGCAUCCUGGGGCUGUAGUAGGUCCCAAGGGUUGGGCUGUUCGCCCAUUAAAGCGGUACGCGAGCUGGGUUCAGAACGUCGUGAGACAGUUCGGUCCCUAUCCGGCGUGGGCGUAGGAUAUCUGAGAGGAGCUGUCCUUAGUACGAGAGGACCGGGAUGGACGGACCGCUGGUGGACCGGUUGGCUUGCCAAAGCCAUGGCCGGGUAGCCAAGUCCGGAAGGGAUAAACGCUGAAGGCAUCUAAGCGUGAAGCCCCCCUCAAGAUGAGAUAUCCCAUUCUUAUGAAGUAAACCCCCUUGAAGACGACGAGGUAGAUAGGGCAGGGGUGGAAGUGUGGCAACACAUGGAGCUGACUGUUACUAAUCGGGUGAGGGCUUGACCG
rnacentral:rRNA from 1 species